CAACUCGCCUGCAUGAAGUCGGAAUUGCUAGUAAUCGCGGAUCAGCAUGCCGCGGUGAAUACGUUCCCGGGCCUUGUACACACCGCCCGUCACACCAUGGGAGCCGGUAAUACCCGAAGUCAGUAGUCCAACCUCGUGGGGACGCUGCCGAAGGUAGGAUUGGCGACUGGGGGUGAAGUCGUAACAAGGUAAC
rnacentral:rRNA from 1 species